rnacentral:rRNA from 1 species
UACAGAGGUCUCAAGCGUUGUUCGGAUUCAUUGGGCGUAAAGGGUGCGUAGGUGGCGCCGUAAGUCAGGUGUGAAAUCUCGGGGCUUAACUCCGAAACUGCAUUUGAUACUGCGGUGCUUGAGGACUGGAGAGGAGACUGGAAUUUACGGUGUAGCAGUGAAAUGCGUAGAGAUCGUAAGGAAGACCAGUGGCGAAGGCGGGUCUCUGGACAGUUCCUGACACUGAGGCACGAAGGCCAGGGGAGCAAACAGG